rnacentral:rRNA from 1 species
UCACGAAAGUGGGCUGUACUAGAAGUCACCGCGCUAACCCGCCGCAAGGCGGGAGGCAGGUGCCCAAGGUAUGGCUCAUGAUUGGGGUG